rnacentral:rRNA from 1 species
GAACUUAAGCAUAUCAAUAAGCGGAGGAAAAGAAACCAACAGGGAUUGCCUCAGUAACGGCGAGUGAAGCGGCAACAGCUCAAAUUUGAAAUCUGGCCGCAAGGUCCGAGUUGUAAUUUGUAGAGGAUGCUUUUGGCGAGGUGCCUUCCGAGUUCCCUGGAACGGGACGCCAUAGAGGGUGAGAGCCCCGUACGGUAGGACCACCAAGCCUCUGUAAAGCUCCUUCGACGAGUCGAGUAGUUUGGGAAUGCUGCUCUAAAUGGGAGGUGUACGUCUUCUAAAGCUAAAUACCGGCCAGAGACCGAUAGCGCACAAGUAGAGUGAUCGAAAGAUGAAAAGCACUUUGAAAAGAGGGUUAAAAAGUACGUGAAAUUGUUGAAAGGGAAGCAUUCAUGACCAGACUUGGGCUUGGUUGAACAUCCGGCGUUCUCGCCGGUGCACUCUGCCAGUCCAGGCCAGCAUCAGUUUGCCCCGGGGGAUAAAGGCGGCGGGAAUGUGGCUCCCUUCGGGGAGUGUUAUAGCCCGUCGUGUAAUGCCCUGGGGCGGACUGAGGAACGCGCUUCGGCACGGAUGCUGGCGUAAUGGUCAUCAAUGACCCGUCUUGAAACACGGACCAAGGAGUCGUCUUCGUAUGCGAGUGUUCGGGUGUCAAACCCCUACGCGUAAUGAAAGUGAACGUAGGUGAGAGCUUCGGCGCAUCACCGACCGAUCCUGAUGUUCUCGGAUGGAUUUGAGUAAGAGCAUACGGGGCUGGACCCGAAA